rnacentral:misc_RNA from 1 species
GAUGAAGAACGCAGCGAAACGCGAUAAGUAAUGUGAAUUGCAGAAUUCAGUGAAUCAUCGAAUCUUUGAACGCACAUUGCGCCCCUUGGUAUUCCGAGGGGCAUGCCUGUUCGAGCGUCAUUAUAACCCCUCAAGCUCAGCUUGGUGUUGGGGCCUGCUGCACUGGCAGCCCUUAAAAUCAGUGGCGGCGCCAUCUGGCUCUAAGCGUAGUAAUUCUUCUCGCUAUGGAGUCCUGGUGGAUGCUUGCCAUCAACCCCCAAUUUUUCUAUGGUUGACCUCGGAUCAGGUAGGGAUACCCGCUGAACUUAAGCAUAUCAAUAAGCGGAGGA